GACGAACGCUGGCGGCGUGCUUAACACAUGCAAGUCGAACGGAAAGGCCCUGCUUUUGUGGGGUGCUCGAGUGGCGAACGGGUGAGUAACACGUGAGUAACCUGCCCUUGACUUUGGGAUAACUUCAGGAAACUGGGGCUAAUACCGGAUAGGAGCUCCUGCUGCAUGGUGGGGGUUGGAAAGUUUCGGCGGUUGGGGAUGGACUCGCGGCUUAUCAGCUUGUUGGUGGGGUAGUGGCUUACCAAGGCUUUGACGGGUAGCCGGCCUGAGAGGGUGACCGGCCACAUUGGGACUGAGAUACGGCCCAGACUCCUACGGGAGGCAGCAGUGGGGAAUAUUGCACAAUGGGCGGAAGCCUGAUGCAGCAACGCCGCGUGCGGGAUGACGGCCUGCGGGUUGUAAACCGAUUUCGCCUGUGACGAAGCGUGAGUGACGGUAAUGGGUAAAGAAGCACCGGCUAACUACGUG
rnacentral:rRNA from 1 species